GAUGGACGCUGGCGGCGUGCCUAAUACAUGCAAGUCGAACGAAACUUCUUUAUCACCGAGUGCUUGCACUCACCGAUAAAGAGUUGAGUGGCGAACGGGUGAGUAACACGUGGGCAACCUGCCCAAAAGAGGGGGAUAACACUUGGAAACAGGUGCUAAUACCGCAUAACCAUAGUUACCGCAUGGUAACUAUGUAAAAGGUGGCUAUACUACCGCCUUUGGAUGGGCCCGCGGCGCAUUAGCUAGUUGGUAGGGUAAAGGCUUACCAAGGCAAUGAUGCGUAGCCGAAUUGAGAGGUUGAUCGGCCACAUUGGGACUGAGACACGGCCCAAACUCCUACGGGAGGCAGCAGUAGGGAAUCUUCCACAAUGGGCGAAAGCCUGAUGGAGCAACGCCGCGUGGGUGAAGAAGGUCUUCGGAUCGUAAAACCCUGUUGUUAGAGAAGAAAGUGCGUGAGAGUAACUGUUCACGUUUCGACGGUAUCUAACCAGAAAGCCACUGCUAACUACGUG
rnacentral:rRNA from 1 species